rnacentral:tRNA from 1 species
CGUUCUAUGGCCGAACUGGUGAAGGCAUCGCCGAUUAAUAGGCGAAAAUGCGGGUUCGAGUCUCGCUGAAACGG